rnacentral:rRNA from 1 species
AAAAUUAUUUUAAAAAUCAGUUUAAUAUAUUAAUUAAAAUAAUAUGAAAGUGUGUUAAWUAKUARAAUAUUAAAAAAUAAAUUUAGUAAUUUUAGUGAAAAAUAAUAAUGAUUUAUAGAAUAAAAGUAAAGUAAUUGAAAUUUAAAAUAAAUUAAAUAAUAAAAAUUUUUAAAAGUAAAAUUAAAUUUUUGUAUCUUGGGUAUCAGAGUUUAAAAAUUAAAGAUAAUUAUAUUUAAUAUUUCGAAAAAAUAAGAGCUAAAAAUUUAAUAAAUUUAAUGUGUCAUAAUUAUAAAUAAUAAAUUUUUGGAAAUGAAAUGUUUUCGUUUAUUUUUAUAUCUAAUUUUUAAAGAAAAAAAUUUAAUUUAAUUUAUAUUUAUAUAAUAGUAGUUAUUAAAAUAAUUUAUUAAUAAACUUUUAAAAUUUUAAUUUUUAAAUUGAAUUAAAAUUAAAAAUUUAAAUAAAAUUAAGGAUUUUAUAUAAAAUAAUAAAAUUAAAAGUUUUAAUUUAGUUAAAAUUUAUAAUUAAUUAUUUAUAUUUUAAAUUUAAUUUUUAUAUAAUAAAUUAAAUAUUUAUUUAAAAAUAAUUUUAAAUUAAUUAAAAUUAGAUAAAAUGUUAAAAUUAGUAUAAAAUUUAAUUGUAUUUUUUUAAAAUUAAGUUUAAAAUUUAAAUUAUGAAUUCGGCAAAAAUUUUAAUAUGUUAAUUGAUAAUUCAUCUGUUUAACAAAAACAUAGUUUUUUGUGAUAAAUUUAAAAUUUAAUCUGCCCACUGAAAUUUUUAAAGGGCUGCAGAAAUUUAACUGUACAAAGGUAGCAUAAUAAUUUGUUUCUUAAUUAGGAACUUGUAUGAAUGAUUGAAUGAGAUUUAAGCUUUAUUAUUUAUAAUUUUUGAAUUUAUUUUUUUAAUAAAAAAAUUAAAAUUCUUAAAAUAGACGAGAAGACCCUUUAGAGUUUGAUUUUUGUUUAUUUAUAUAUAUUAAAAUUAAUUAUAGAAUUAAUAAUUAAAAAUUUAAUUGGKKWKWWURWUAAAUUAAUUAAUUUUAUUUAAAGAAUUUAAAUAACUAUAUGAUUAAAAUUUUUAAAAAUUGUUUAAUUUUAUGGCGAUUAGAUUAAAUUACCUAAGGGAUAACAGCGUUAUUUUUAAUUUAAGAUCUAAUUAAAUUAAAAGAGUGCGACCUCGAUGUUGGAUUAAGAUAAAUAUUAAGUGAAAGGACUUAAAAAUUUAGUCUGUUCGACUAUUAAAAUCUUACAUGAUCUGAGUUCAAACCGGUGUGAGCCAGGUUGGUUUCUAUCUUUUUAUAUAUAAUUAAGUUUUAGUACGAAAGGAUUUAACUUAAAAAAUUUAUUUUUAAAUUUAUUAUUAAUUAAAUUAAUUGUAAAAWWUAWWA